rnacentral:misc_RNA from 1 species
AACGCACAUUGCGCCCGCUAGUAUUCUAGCGGGCAUGCCUGUUCGAGCGUCAUUUCAACCCUCAGGCCCCUCCGCUCUCGCGGGGGAUCAGCGCCUGGUGUUGGGGAUCGGCCGCUAAGGUCGUCCCUGAAAUACAGUGGCGGUCUCGCUGUAGCGUUACCUUUGCGUAGUAAUUACUCUCGCACCGGAGCGCGGCGUGGCCCAAGCCGUAAAACCCCCUACUUUAUGAAAGGUUGACCUCGGAUCAGGUAGGAAUACCCGCUGAACUUAA